UGCUACAAUGGUCGAUACAAAGAGGUGCGAUACCGUGAGGUGGAGCGAAUCUCAUAAAGUCGAUCUAAGUCCGGAUUGAAGGCUGAAACUCGCCUUCAUGAAGUCGGAGUCGCUAGUAAUCGUGGAUCAGCACGCCACGGUGAAUACGUUCCCGGGCCUU
rnacentral:rRNA from 1 species